GAGUUUGAUCGUGGCUCAGGAUGAACGCUGGCGGCGUGCUUAACACAUGCAAGUCGAACGAAGCGCCUUAUUUGAUUUUCUUCGGAACUGAAGAUUUGGUGACUGAGUGGCGGACGGGUGAGUAACGCGUGGGUAACCUGCCCUGUACAGGGGGAUAACAAUCAGAAAUGACUGCUAAUACCGCAUAAGACCACAGCACCGCAUGGUGCAGGGGUAAAAACUCCGGUGGUACAGGAUGGACCCGCGUCUGAUUAGCUGGUUGGUGAGGUAACGGCUCACCAAGGCGACGAUCAGUAGCCGGCUUGAGAGAGUGAACGGCCACAUUGGGACUGAGACACGGCCCAAACUCCUACGGGAGGCAGCAGUGGGGAAUAUUGCACAAUGGGGGAAACCCUGAUGCAGCAACGCCGCGUGAGUGAAGAAGUAUUUCGGUAUGUAAAGCUCUAUCAGCAGGGAAGAAAGUGACGGUACCUGACUAAGAAGCCCCGGCUAACUACGUGCCAGCCGCCGCGGUAAC
rnacentral:rRNA from 1 species